rnacentral:rRNA from 1 species
AUGAAGUUGCGUAUCAGUGAUGCUCAGACAACUUUGGAUAAUGUUAGGCUAUGUCGAAAAAAUGUGUACACUGGCAUCUUUCCAAAUCUAGGUGAGGAUCGUGUGGGCCGCGACCUAGUGGAUGGCUGCAGCGUUGCGUACAGGCUAGCCGUUAAUGAGAAUGAGGCGAAUCGAGAUCUGGGACAAAGUAGUACGUCGCAAGCUGGAGAAAGAAAGAUUUGGAGCGUGCUUUGGAAAGCAAAUGUUCCUCCCAAGAUUAGAAAUUUUGGGUUGCGUUUGACGACGGAGUCACUCGGAGUUCAGACAAGUAGACGUAAGAGAGGGUUAGAGUUAUUCCCUACAUGCUCUAUUUGUGGAAUGGAACCAGAAGAUGGAUAUCACACAGUCAUGAGAUGCACAAAAGCUAAAGCCAUGCGUGACACCAUGCGUGAGGUCUGGACCCUUCCCCGGGACACUGAUCUUACAUCUACGGGGCGUGAGUGGGUCCUUCUAACUCUUGAUAAGGCGAAUGAGGAGGAGCUUACACACCUCCUCUUCAUCUGGUGGCAAGCGUGA